GUUUUAUUGAGGAGAAAAAAACAGACAAGAACGCAUAUUGUGUUGCGCCUGCGCUGUGACGUUCUUUUUUCCAUUCCAACCGCAUUUCCAGUCAAGAGGUCAAGAAUGUUCCUGUCUGCAUCAGCUUUCCACUGCCACUCGCAAAGGAGAUUGUGUUGUUGGAUUAUGGUAUAAUUUGGUCAAAAUGAGGGACAUGUACUGUAAGGAUGCUUUUACAUACUUCAUUUAUGUGUAUGAAAUACUUACUUGACAAUGUGUAUAACUGUACUUGACUCUAACUUAGUGCUAUUUUUGCAUUGAUCAUGAUAGGAACAUUUUUCUUUUUUUUCUUUUAUUUUUGAUGGGCCAUCACACAGUGGAUUUAUAAAAAUGAGACUACAGAACAUCAGACGGAAGCUUCAACAUGUGAGAGGACAUCAUCAAUAAAGAAUGCCAUUGACCAAACCUUCAGUCAUCAAAGGAGAUGGAUACAGGUGGACAUUGAGUUUCCAGACUUACCGAUAGGAAAGAAGACAUGUUUAUCAGGAAAUGGGAGGUGACAAUUAUUGAGAAAUUCGGGGAAAUAGCAUCUUUAGAGAAGAAAAUGGACAUCAGACAUUCAUUGAAGAAAGCUGACAGUCAACAUAAUGAUCUUCUGCUGUGUGAAUUCUGCUGUCUCAGACCUGUGGGACUUGGUGGCGGCUGGUACCAGCGUGACCUCUUUGCUUACUAAAUGAUGAAAAGGUGUCUAAAAUCAGCUCAGCCACAGUUGGUUUCCAGCGGUUCUUCAGGACAUAGAGGCCACUAUGUAAUUGUCGCAAUGAAUGAUUCUCUUGCCUUUCCACUUGAUGUUUACAAUCUGACCUGUGCGGUAGACAGACUUUUCAAAUUUACUAGCUAAGUAACCUUAAGUAUCCCUGCCAACUGUCUUCAGUUUUUUUUUUUUUGGUAUGAAUAUGAUCUACCCUUGUCCCAGUCCUCUUGCAAACGAUCCAAGCCAAUGGAGUUUCAAAAUGGACCGCAAAAUUGCAGUCUGUUUUAACCAAUGCAUGCACUGUGUGGCGGUUUCCCGGACAGGGAUUAGACUAGUCCUAGACUAAAACAUUUUUAAGAGCUGUCCAAACUGAAAACAACUUGCACUGACAUAUCUUAAAAUACAUCAGUGGCCUUUUUUUGCCUCAAAAUGCACACAGGUAAUGUUUUUAGUAAGGCAUGUUUGUUAAAACCAGAUAUAUUUCCUAAUUAAUCUAAGGCCUAGUCCUGGAUUAAGAUAUCCCUGUCCGGGAAACCACCCCUAAAUAUUUUGUGAUGGAAAUUUCUUUGAAUACACUUGUCAAGUUCAUUUGAAGUAUUUUUCUUAAUGUAAAAUAACGUGUUAAUGUUUCAGGACAAGGUAAGAAGUUUUGAUAACUUGCAUGUUGAAAACGAUUUCAGACAUUGUUUCAACACAUGUGCUUUUAAAUUCAAUGAAUUAUUUUAUAA